GCGACCUACCUCGGUGUGGGGCAUAGCCGGUCUAACGACCGGGUAAUUCCGCAUACGCUCUCGAGAGGGCAUACUCUUGAGAUGAAACCAGUAAUGGGCACUGAGAGGGGCUUGCGGCCUAUCAGCUAGUUGGAGAGGUAACGGCUCACCAAGGCUACGACGGGUAGCUGGUCUGAGAGGAUGGCCAGCCACAUUGGGACUGAGAUACGGCCCAGACUCCUACGGGAGGCAGCAGUGGGGAAUCUUGCGCAAUGGCCUAACGGCUGACGCAGCGACGCCGCGUGAGGGACGAAGCUCCUCGGAGUGUAAACCUCUGUUGCCCGGGACGAAUAGCGGAUUAUUCCGACUUGACGGUACCGGGUGAGGAAGCACCGGCUAACUCCGUGCCAGCAGCCGCGGUAAUACGGGGGGUGCAAGCGUUGUCCGGAAUCACUGGGCGUAAAGGGCGCGUAGGUGGUCUUGUAAGUCUGUGGUGAAAGCCCGGGGCUCAACCCCGGGUCUGCCGUGGAUACUGCGAGACUUGAGUACUGUAGAGGCAGGUAGAAUAUCGGGUGUAGCGGUGGAAUGCGUAGAGAUCCGAUAGAAGACCGGUGGCGAAGGCGGCCUGCUGGGCAGUAACUGACACUGAGGCGCGACAGCGUGGGGAGCAAACAGGAUUAGAUACCCUGGUAGUCCACGCCGUAAACGAUGGGUACUAGGUGCUUGGGGGAGCGACCCCUUGAGUGCCGGCGCUAACGCAGGAAGUACCCCGCCUGGGGAGUACGGCCGCAAGGCUGAAACUCAAAGGAAUUGACGGGG
rnacentral:rRNA from 1 species